AGUGAACGCUGGCGGUAGGCCUAACACAUGCAAGUCGAACGGCAGCACAGUAAGAGCUUGCUCUUACGGGUGGCGAGUGGCGGACGGGUGAGGAAUACAUCGGAAUCUACUUUUUCGUGGGGGAUAACGUAGGGAAACUUACUCUAAUACCGCAUACGACCUACGGGUGAAAGCAGGGGAUCUUCGGACCUUGCGCGAGUGAAUGAGCCGAUGUCGGAUUAGCUAGUUGGCGGGGUAAAGGCCCACCAAGGCGACGAUCCGUAGCUGGUCUGAGAGGAUGAUCCGCCACACUGGAACUGAGACACGGUCCAGACUCCUACGGGAGGCAGCAGUGGGGAAUAUUGGACAAUGGGGGCAAGCCUGAUCCAGCCAUACCGCGUGGGUGAAGAAGGCCUUCGGGUUGUAAAGCCCUUUUGUUGGGAAAGAAAAGCAGCAGGUUAAUCCCCCGCUGUUCUGACGGUACCCAAAGAAUAAGCACCGGCUAACUUCGUG
rnacentral:rRNA from 1 species